CGCGGGAUGGAGCAGUCUGGUAGCUCGUCGGGCUCAUAACCCGAAGGUCGUUGGUUCAAAUCCGACUCCCGCAA
rnacentral:tRNA from 1 species